AGAUCAUUGUUCUACUGAUAAACGCUGUAGGAACUAGCGUGAGAAACUUUUAAGACAGUGUCAAUGCAAACGACGGGGAAUUUUGUAUCAUAAUAUGUUAAACUUUUUUCAUAGCACGGCAUCCACCAAAUUCGGAGGCCCCGUUAUACCUGCAGUCCAACUGGGAGGCCGAAUGCCUCUUUCAGACCUUCAAGAUGCAGAUGAAAAAGUGCAUUGGGGUGCUCUGGCAGAAGAGAUAUCCACAAGUUCUUAGAAGUCAACUCCUGUUUAUGAGAAGAUCAUAGUGGAACUGUUGCAUGAGCGCCAGCUGUGCACAGUGGUGCACCUUGUGCUGCUGGCCCGUCACCUACUACGUGCACCUCAAUUGCCACACUACACAGCAGUGUUUCAUGUCUGAGUUCUCGCCUUUGGCUGCUGUGAGCCGUGGGUUCUGGCAACUGUCCAUGGUGAGCGAGGAAGUUUCUGGCAAAAUGUUCCAGUGAUGUUCCACCCUCUCCCCCCCCCCCCCCCUCCCCCAAUCAGCGCCUGGCGGUGCGGGGCACUUCAUCUGAUACAGCCGGCAGCUGUUACCAGCGAGAACGUCGCUCCACCAUUAUUAAAAUUCUUUGAAUUUAUUUGUUAAAGAAUUGUAUCAUAAUAAAUGUUGUAAA